rnacentral:rRNA from 1 species
UGGGGAAUAUUGGACAAUGGGGGCAACCCUGAUCCAGCAAUGCCGCGUGAGUGAAGAAGGCCUUCGGGUUGUAAAACUCUUUUGUUAGGGACGAUGAUGACGGUACCUAACGAAUAAGCCCCGGCUAACUUCGUGCCAGCAGCCGCGGUAAUACGAAGGGGGCUAGCGUUGUUCGGAAUGACUGGGCGUAAAGGGUGUGUAGGCGGUUAUACACGUCAGAUGUGAAAUCCCCGGGCUUAACCUGGGAAUGGCAUUUGAUACGGUAUAGCUAGAGAUUGGUAGAGGGUAGAGGAAUUGCGAGUGUAGAGGUGAAAUUCGUAGAGAUUCGCAGGAACACCGGUGGCGAAGGCGGCUACCUGGGCCAAUACUGACGCUGAGGCACGAGAGCGUGGGGAGCAAACAGGAUUAGAUACCCCCGUAGUCC